UGACAGAGCGGCCACCCCCGCCCAGCACCGCCCCCCGCCGGCGGGAUCUCGGCGCGCUCUGCCAAUCGGCUCGGGGCAGAGAGGCAGCCUCGGCCAAUCAGGUGCCGCGGAGCGCGGAGGGUGCCCCGGGAGUUUUCAUAAGGACUGUUGAUUUCCACCUUAUACGAAAUGGGCAAAAUGUCAUCAGGGAGGUCCACCUAUUAAAACAAACUGGAUUUUGUCAUGGACAAGACAAGAAAAUAAAUCAGUGAUUCUGGAAUAUGAAGUGAACAAUGGGCAUUAAAAGAAGUUCUCCAAGAAUGAAAUUAAGUGAAAUACAACACGUUAAAGACAUCUCUCCCCCAACUCUUCAUCUACAUUCACAAAUUUUGAAAAAUUUGGUUUUGUGAAGCUGUCUACCACCUAUACUUACUAUUGUUCUAGCUGAAUGACAAAAUAAAAGCCAACUGAAGGAAAAAAACCUUAUUCAUUGCAAGUUUUAACAUUAUUGAAAUGUAUGUCUUCCAGAAAACAAAGUAUUUAUAUUAAAUGUUUUAGUGAAAUGUUCUGAUUCUAAGAACAGGACCAUCCUCCAGUUUUGGACAUGAAAAAACCCUAUCUCCCUUGGAGGCCACUGAGGACAAAUUAAAUUUCAAUCAUCUUUAUAGAUCACCAAAAGAGGUUUGGUUUCCUCAAA